AUUGAACGCUGGCGGAAUGCUUUACACAUGCAAGUCGAGCGGCAGCGCGGGGGCAACCCUGGCGGCGAGCGGCGAACGGGUGAGUAACAUAUCGGAACGUACCCCGUCGUGGGGGAUAACACAGCGAAAGCUGUGCUAAUACCGCAUACGACCUGAGGGUGAAAGCGGGGGAUCGCAAGACCUCGCGCGAUGGGAGCGGCCGAUAUCGGAUUAGCUUGUUGGUGAGGUAAAGGCUCACCAAGGCGACGAUCCGUAGCUGGUCUGAGAGGACGACCAGCCACACUGGAACUGAGACACGGUCCAGACUCCUACGGGAGGCAGCAGUGGGGAAUUUUGGACAAUGGGGGGCAACCCUGAUCCAGCCAUUCCGCGUGAGUGAAGAAGGCCUUGG
rnacentral:rRNA from 1 species